UACGAAGGGGGCUAGCGUUGUUCGGAUUUACUGGGCGUAAAGCGCACGUAGGCGGAUUGGUUAAGUCGGGGGUGAAAUCCUGGAGCUCAACUCCAGAAUUGCCUUCGAUACUGGCUUUCUAGAGGGCUGGAAGAGGUUAGUGGAAUUCCCAGUGUAGAGGUGAAAUUCGUAGAUAUUCGCAAGAACACCAGUGGCGAAGGCGGCUCACUGGCCCGAUACUGACGCUGAGGCACGAAAGCGUGGGAAGCAACGGGAUAGAAACCCUU
rnacentral:rRNA from 1 species